AUUGAACGCUGGCGGCAGGCCUAACACAUGCAAGUCGAGCGGAGCGGCGGACGGGUGAGUAAUGCCUAGGUAUCUGCCUGGUAGUGGGGGAUAACGUCAGGAAACGGGCGCUAAUACCGCAUACUAUCAGAUGAGCCUAGGUCGGAUUAGCUAGUUGGUGGGGUAAAGGACUACAAAGGCGACGACCCGUAACUGGUCUGAGAGGGUGAUCAGUCACACUGGAACUGAGACACGGUCCGGCCUCGUACGGGAGGCAGCAGUGGGAAAUAUUGGACAAUGGGCGAAAGCCUGAUCCCGCCAUGCAGCGUGUGUGAAGAAGGUCUUCGGAUUGUAAAGCACUUUAAGUUGGGAGGCGUUACCAACAGAAUAAGCACCGGCUAACUUCGUGCCAGCAGCCGCGGUAAUUC
rnacentral:rRNA from 1 species